CUGGUAGGCGGCAACUCUUGGCGGGGUCAUUUUCGAUCAUAACACACGAGCAGUCUGGUUGGGCAUUGCGCAAGUGCAGGCGCAUGGGAUGUUGUCUUAGGUGGAUGGGUGCGUCCACUGCAUCGGGGUUUUGGCCUCAGGGCUACCUAGGUACGGCUGGUUGGCAUGAUGCUAGAAAUUCACACCGUCGGGUCCUUGCUUGCCCCCACCUAGCGCCUAUCCACAGGAAGCAUGUUCUGUACAGCCCGCUGCUGCCUGUUGCAUAUUUGCUGUCUCUUAGGUGAGCGGCGAAGCAUGAUAGCUACAAGUAAAGUUUAGACUCUAAACUCAUCGGAUGAAUCUAAAUCCAGCCCUUUGCUCUCCUGCCCGCUUCUGUCCUGUCCUUCCGCCCCGCCCCGCCGCAACAUCGGGCCGUCAACUGCUGUGGCUCGACCAGCUACCUGUACAUGUUCGGCCCCGACAGGAGCUGCUGUCCGGUCUACACCGUGGGUCCGCCCUUCUAGUCGCCAUAGGGAAAAGCUUAUACAUGACUGAUACAGCCACACUGUGUAGCAUAACAACCAUAUCUGGAUUUUGAGGACAUUAUUCAUUCUGUCCUCUAUAGAAUAUUUGAUCUGCUUUUUCAUCAAGUCCCGCCCGUCUGAAGCGCAAAUAGAAGCGGACUUUGUACAUACCGCCUUUCGGACACGGAAGAAGCAGGGGCGAGGUUAAUUAGCAACGCCAUUUCGUACUUUUGCAACUUCCUAUCCUAAGCCCACAUAGUAUUAUGUGAAGAUCAGUCAUAAUGUGAAGAUCAAUCUUAAAUAUGCUAAGUACAGGUCUGCAUCAAAGCAGCGGGGAGCAAACGACUCUUUAAUGCCGCGAUGUUCUUGAAGCGUGGGAGCUGGUAUGCGAUGCAAGCUCUUAUCGCAACUCGUUGCGUGAAUAUGGUCGAAUUUGCUCUGCGGACUGUGGUAACAAACAAAUGUAAACUUACCAGGUGUCAAAGCACAUGUCCCGCACAAGUACGGUGAGCAUCCGUAAAAGCUUCGGAGAGCCUCGUUGACGGGCAAUAGCCAUUCACUCGAAGACAGAAGUCCGUUCGCGUGCCUGUCGCACUUGAUCGGCUCGUUCUUUGAUUCUCCAUCCAAAUCUGUAUAGCAUACUCUACGCGCACUCUUUCUUACGCUCUAGACGCACCCGAUGUGCAAGUUGCUCGCACAGUCCUGCAGCCUUGUGUGCGGCAGCAUGCCACAUCUGCAGAUGUGUCAGCAGAUGUGCCAGCUGGCUCUUUUCACUGCCAGGUGCUGCAGUUGUAAGCUGGCCUUGUGUAAGAAUCUAUGAUGUGAACGUAAAUCCCUGCAACAGCUCCUUGAUGCAGCUGUACUCUUCGGGACUCUGGGGCCCACUAUAACAACCACACACACACACAUUAUUUCUCUUCCAGCAGGUAUUGAUAAUGCCCUCUCCUUGGCACGUACUGGUUAGGUAAAGUAGGACAAGCCCGUGGCUCUGGUGCUGGGCCUGUAAAGCAAGGCCUUGCUUUACACCUAGCUUUACACCUUACUUUACCCCUACGAGUGGGAGCAAGCUAGGUGGUUGCCAAGAACUCGUAGAUGGUACCGCUUCCGUGUUCACUGCUAUCGUGCUCCUCGUAUUCAAAAGGUGUGGGAGGAGGCAGAGGGGCCAGUAAUGCGAGCAGGAUUUGGGACGCCGCCGAAGAGGACUUCACUUUGGUGGCAUCACCUUUCUGAGAUGCUGGCCGCAGGGGGUCGGUCGUCCAUGUUGCAAGCCGUGACAGUAGUCGGUGUCCUGAGACCAUUGGGCCAUUUAAUUCCGGGACAUGUAAUUCUUUUAGGUUUCGCAGGGCUCAGGUGUCGAUAUCGGCACGUAAAGGGCACAUAUCCUGGUGUCGAGCGACGCCUCUUUCAUGCUUUGACGCCAUUUCCCUUCCUAUUUACCGCAUACUGUUCAGCAUAUGAAUAGCGUGGUGAGCUUGACUCAGCGUCCAUGCUGCAGUCCUGCGAGCGAUUUUUGUUAAAGAAAGCUUAGCCAGAGCCAGCCAGCUAGCGAGCUUAAGCUUGUGCGCGGGCAGUGCGUUCAGGCUCAUAACAGAUCUCGUUGCAGGUGUGGUUCAAAUAACUCUUUAAGGACUGUGUAAUCAAGCAAUUGUGUGUAAUCCUUAUUAUUAUCGGUACAUCCCCCGCCGUUGGAAACCGUUGCCGUACGCCGCCGUAGUAAAGGAUGACUUGGUCGUCACAUGUGGUGAGGCGCAACAGGCGCGCACGAAAGUCGCACAUUUAUCUUAGACUUGAUCGUGCACGUAUAUAAUGCCGUGGAAUGAAACUGCCAAGGCCAGCCAAGGGCGACGAUAAGAUGUAAGAUUAUUGGCUUGAAGAGUUCGCUACAAUGCGUACGUGCAGCAGGCACAUUAUCGCGCUUUAGUUGAUAUGUGUUCCGGCCCGCGUGGAUGUGGCGAUAGGCAACUAAAUGUGGCUAGGUACCGAAGUCUGAUGCUGUUGAUAGCAUGCAUGAAACUAUCACUUAUAUAACGAGAAGUGAAAAUGCUCGCGCGUGCAUGCGUAUUUAUUAUGAGCCAAAACACUCAGCGAAUCAUUUAAUAUACACCAAGCCACGUAAGGCCCAACAGUUUACAGCUAGCGCACGUUCAUCAUCUUACGAGACAUAAAGUUACACGUUAUAUAUCAUAACUAGACAUACGGUUUCGGUGACGAUGCCGUCGUGUAUGGCAGGCAAGCAAGCAAGUGGUGAGGCGAUCAUUUGCAACAAACAGAAAUGGGAGUCUGGAGCCCACUGUAACAACCACACACACAGAAGUGGGCGAAUGCGUAGGAUGCCGCCGGACCGGUUGCCAAAUCUGGAUCCCUGUCGUCACGUCGAUAGGCGUCGAUAACUUCGGUUUGCUGGCUCCUGUGAUCAUUAUGAUAAUGCACUAGCUAAUAAAAAAAUGGAUAGUGAACUUAUGAAUGCCAUUCUCGAGAUUUGAAGGGUACUUAAAAAAUAGACUUCGACAGCAGCAGAACACCAAACUGCAGAACAUACAAAGGUCAGAUAAUUGACAACUUGUGUGAUCAUCGGUAUAAAAAAUGAUGCUCAAAGAAUGUGUGAUUUAUCAGGAAGCCAGUCCACGAAGGUUUAUUUGCAGAGCAGCUAGAGCAGCAGCUUUGAGCCCGCCGUUCCCCUAAGCAACGCCAAAAUACGGCACUCCGGAACGGCGGUGAGGGCAUGUAAGGGUCAUCUCUUUAACAAAUAAAACAACCCAUGCGCUGGGGCCUCUGAAGAAUGUGUUCGCGCAGCUUGGCCCUGUUGGUGCUCGCCGAGCACUGCUCGGCCUGUUAGUGAUGGGGGGGGAACUUCCAUCCGCACCAACGGUAUGAGGCUGACAACUGACAUCUUUAAUGGAUUGGCGCUCCUCUAAUAAUCCUUAAAGGAUCAAACCUGUCGCACGCAUUUCGUUACAGCGUAAGCUCAGUUGUGACGACGCCGUCGGCGAAAACGUAUUGCUUCAACAUCUCCGUGAAUGGACCACAGGGUACAUUGCGCUGGGUACCUGAAGAAAUUUGAGUUAAAUUUUAAAAAAUUUGGGCUUACCAUCAUUCUGUAUGGACCUUGUGCGUGGCUCGUCUGUAUAUCUAAAUGUCUGUAUGAGCUGGUACGAGAUUGCAAUCUACCAUACCAGAUACCCAUUCUUGCGAGGCUUGGUAGCUGCCCGUACAUUCAAUUUUUACUCAGCCGUUCCCAUCCCGCACCGUAAUCUUGGUUUUUCGCACCCUGUAUACCUUAAGCCCCUCUUGCCCUCUCCCUUUCGCUCGUUCGCCUCCUUCCUUCCUUUCUUACGUAAAGCGCCACGAAGGCAGGCUCACUGUCGCCUUUCAAAACCUCCUGCUGCUUAACCACUCUAGGGCUUAGGAGCGUCCCAGGGACAGGCUCUCCUGCCUUUCGAUUAACUUCCUUCCGAAUCCCUGGGACUUAUGAUUCCUGGCCCUUUUCCAUUGAAAGGCAUUCACGCCCCCCCCCCAAACACCUCCUGCCACCGACCCUCACCUCCCCUUCCGCUGCAGCUAAACGUCAAUCCAGAAUGCAAGGUCUCCAGCGCCAAGCUGAGUGCCACCCUCAACGGCAAGCCAACACCCACAGCACCCACGCUUGACCGGGCUCCCAACGAACCGGCUGGCGUCAUCCUGCGCAUCACUAAUCUGGGUCUCAACAUGGCCGAUGCCGAUGGUGCUCGAAUGUCCGGUUGCUGCACGUGUCGUAACUAAAACCCCGCAACACACGUGUCAUGUCCUCUUGCCCUUUCCCCCCUACUUAUUGCUGGCUGCUUUUUGCGUUGUCGUACCAAUCCAUGCCUUCUCCGUCUUCAUGGGGUACUUAGAGCCCCUGCGGCCCUACCGAUACGUUGCAAAAGAUCGAGUUCUGUGCGGGUGAGUGCGCAGUGGUGGGCAGAUGUCGGGGUCCUGGCCCCAGGGUUACCUAGGUACGGCUGGUUGGCAUGAUGCUAGAAAUUCACACCGUCGGGUCCUUGCUUGCCCCCACCUAGCGCCUGCUCAUAUAGAGUCGAAAACGGCUUGGGACCACCUGUCAGCUCGUUUGCAAACUAAUUGUGGUCUCAUUUCUGCCAUCUGGCGAGUCAUCAUCACGAUGAUAAGUGUUUUGGCCUAGCUCAACCCAAAUCCCUCCCAAAAUCGUCUGCCAUUUGCCCUCCUGCGGCCGCUUCUGUCUUCGACUACUGGCCUCGCUUGCCUCAACAUGAUAGCUACAAGUAAAGUUUAGCUUAAUCUAAAUCCAGCCCUUUGCUCUCCUGCCCGCUUCUGUCCUGUCCUUCCGCCCCGCCCCGCCGCAACAUCGGGCCGUCGACUGCUGUGGCUCGACCAGCUACCUGUACAUGUUCGGCCCCGACAGGAGGUGCUGUCCGGUCUACACCGUGGGUCCGCCCUUCGGGUCGCCAUAGGGAAAAGGCUUACACG
rnacentral:lncRNA from 1 species